rnacentral:rRNA from 1 species
AAAAGUGAAAGACGGUCUUGCUGUCACUUAUAGAUGGAUCCGCGCUGCAUUAGCUAGUUGGUAAGGUAACGGCUUACCAAGGCAACGAUGCAUAGCCGACCUGAGAGGGUGAUCGGCCACACUGGAACUGAGACACGGUCCAGACUCCUACGGGAGGCAGCAGUAGGGAAUCUUCCGCAAUGGGCGAAAGCCUGACGGAGCAACGCCGCGUGAGUGAUGAAGGUCUUCGGAUCGUAAAACUCUGUUAUUAGGG